rnacentral:misc_RNA from 1 species
UGGUUCUGGCAUCGAUGAAGAACGCAGCGAAAUGCGAUAAGUAAUGCGAAUUGCAGAAUUUCCGUGAGUCAUCGAAUCUUUGAACGCACAUUGCGCCCACUGGUAUUCCGGUGGGCAUGCCUGUUCGAGCGUCAUUAUCCUCUCUCUAACCCCUCGGGUUGGGCGUUGGACCGCGUCGUAGCAAUACAACUGGUCUCAAAGACAAUGACGGCGUCCGUGGGACCCUCUUCGCAACGAGUCUUUCGAGGCACGCGGGGAGUUGCAAGGCCCCACGGACACGGUCUCACCUCAUUUAUUUUAUCAGGUUGACCUCGGAUCAGGUAGGAAUACCCGCUGA